AGCUGACAGGAAAGACCUCUGUCAUGCCCCAAACUGGUGUGGAAAAAAAAAAAAACAAACCACCAGGAGGAUGCAGCUCCCAGAGCGAGUGUUCUUCACUCAUCACCAAAGGAGAUGACCGCCCAAAAGGCAGAAACCACCCGGGGGCUGUCAUCGCUCCGUGACACCAAAACAACGGGCUGGAAAGAGCUGGUUGGCAUGUGGUAUCAUGUGGCUGGAGCCACAGGGUGUAUUGCUGGAGCGCCUCAGAUGGUGGGUCAGCUGAGAAGCAGUGAUGCCUGCCCAGCUGCAGAGAGACAUGGCAUCUGUUGGAGAGUCUGGAGACACAGGAGAGAUCCCAGGAACCCUGAAGGACAUUCUGGAAGCAACAGCUAUUGACAGCUACAGUUGCUAUAACUGAAGCUACUGCUACUGAUCACGUUGCCACCAGAGGAGUUGCCUCAGAAAGACGUGGAAAACCACUGGGGACCAGGGAAGAAAUGGUUGAGACACGCUUUCCUUGGGAGAGCCUUGCCAAGGGCCACCGUGGGUCCCACAUUGGGAGCUACACACCCAUGGACAGGUGGGGAGACCACCAUGGUUCUGGCUCCAGACGUCUCUGCCUCGCAAUCCUUGACUUUCUCGUGGAGGGUAGAGACUGUGAGUGUUCCAGUGUCUUCCCCUAAAGAAAGAGGCUGGUGGGCACUGGGCCAGCCUGGUCACAGGAAGCUUAGGUUUUUGGUGAAGGAUGUGGGUUCCUGUCCCCACCUGUGUACCCCAUUGUAGCUGAAGAAAAUUUCCUGAUUACCAAUCAUUAUUUAAUCCCUUGUUUGCUUUUUUUUUUUUUUUCUCCUUAGGAAUUAAAAUGAUGGUACUAUUACAAACCAGGAAAAUCUGUCAUAAGAUAGACACUCCUCUCUUUUUGCCAGAAGCUCACUCAGUAUGUGCGGGCAAGUUACUGAACGUCGCCUCCUUCUAGCAUGGUUUUCCCCAUCUAUGAGGUCGGGCUCCCUUCCCAUUAAAUAUGGAUAGUGUUGAUCUACACCUGCUGACUCUCCCCUUUGUGUUGCUGUUUUAUAUUCAUGGAAGCCCAGCAAGGAACAAAAUAUAGAAUUCAGUGCAGAGCUUCUGUUCUUUGGGUUUUCAUUCAAAAUUCAACAGGUAGAUGGAACUCCCGCAUAAGAAAAAGAUGAGGUGACUUGGGGGAGGCGAGUCAUGCC
rnacentral:lncRNA from 12 species